AUUUUAAUAGCUUAUUAAGAGCGUAGCAUUGAAGCUGCUUAGGAGAUAUUUAUCUUAGAAUA
rnacentral:tRNA from 1 species